AUUGAACGCUGGCGGCAUGCCUUACACAUGCAAGUCGAACGGCAGCACGGGAGCAAUCCUGGUGGCGAGUGGCGAACGGGUGAGUAAUAUAUCGGAACGUGUCCAGUUGUGGGGGAUAGCCCGGCGAAAGCCGGAUUAAUACCGCAUACGACCUACGGGUGAAAGCGGGGGAUCGCAAGACCUCGCGCUAUUGGAGCGGCCGAUGUCAGAUUAGCUUGUUGGUGGGGAAAAGCCUACCAAGGCGACGAUCUGUAGCUGGUCUGAGAGGACGACCAGCCACACUGGGACUGAGACACGGCCCAGACUCCUACGGGAGGCAGCAGUGGGGAAUUUUGGACAAUGGCGCAAGCCUGAUCCAGCCAUGCCGCGUGCGGGAAGAAGG
rnacentral:rRNA from 1 species